CGUUCCAUAGCCAAAUUGGUCAAGGCAUUACUGACUGGAGACGAAUAUGCGGGUUCAAGUCUCUCUGGAACGA
rnacentral:tRNA from 1 species